rnacentral:rRNA from 1 species
UUUGAUCAUGGCUCAGAUUGAACGCUGGCGGCAUGCUUUACACAUGCAAGUCGAACGGUAACAGGGAGCUUGCUCCGCUGACGAGUGGCGAACGGGUGAGUAAUGCAUCGGAACGUACCAGUCGUGGGGGAUAACGUAGCGAAAGUUACGCUAAUACCGCAUACGUCCUGAGGGAGAAAGCGGGGGACCGUAAGGCCUCGCGCGAUUGAAGCGGCCGAUGUCGGAUUAGCUAGUUGGUAGGGUAAAGGCCUACCAAGGCGACGAUCCGUAGCGGGUCUGAGAGGAUGAUCCGCCACACUGGGACUGAGACACGGCCCAGACUCCUACGGGAGGCAGCAGUGGGGAAUUUUGGACAAUGGGCGAAAGCCUGAUCCAGCCAUGCCGCGUGAGUGAAGAAGGCCUUCGGGUUGUAAAGCUCUUUCAGCCGGAAAGAAAUCGCGCAGGAUAAUACUCUGCGUGGAUGACGGUACCGGAAGAAGAGGCACCGGCUAACUACGUG